GAUUUCUGACCUCGUCUCUGCUAGCCGGCCACGGUUUCGUGUGUUAGUGCUGGCACAACAGGUCAUCCUUCCACUCCCUUCGUUCAGUCUCUCUUCAUUGAGGGGUGGAGGCAGGGGUGGAUCGUUUACUUUGAAAAAAUUAGAGUGUUUCAAGCAGGCUUGAUGCUAUGAAUACAUUAGCAUGGAAUAAUAAUUUAGGACUUCGGUUCUAUUUUGUUGGUUUCUAGAAUUGAAGUAAUGAUUGAGAGGGACAGUUGGGGGUGCUAGUAUUCAGCGGCCAGAGGUGAAAUUCUCGGAUUCGCUGAAGACUAACUGAUGCGAAAGCAUU
rnacentral:rRNA from 1 species